CGAGGGAGGCUGGGGAGGAGCUGAGCGGGGUUUGCACCCAGGCCGGGGGCCGUGGCUUUCCGGGGGCGGUCCUCUGCGGCCGGGCAUUCCACAGCCACUUAGCGCCGCGCGCGGGGUGCGGAGCCCUGGUCCUAGCAGCCUCCGAGUGCUCCUGGGCUCGGAGGAGCCAGCACACGUUCCGACGCUGCCUGGGCUGAGAUUCUAGGGGCGGGGGUCGCUUCUGGCUGCUGGAUCCUGCUUGAUCUUGGAGACCUGGAGAAGCGCGGGCGGUCGCUGUGCCAGGAACUUUCCGCAGACCUGCUGCGAUCUGGCUGUGGCGGGGGCCCCAGGAUUUCUAGGCGGCACCGCGGCUUCGGGGGGGAGACACAGCCUGUUGAAGGACACAUAUUUGAAGACUUGGAAGAGUGAAAGAGGUCAAUAGAGUGCCCUGGGCCCUCCUGACCACAUGUCUGGCCAGCCUUAGAAUCCUGGAACAGUAACUGUGGAAGGUCCUGUCCCUUGGAGAGCGUUGUGAUCUGUGGUUUUCCAACCGUGUUCUGAAAAGCCCAAGGAAUCAAGAGGAAGCCGAACAGCUGUGCUGGACCACCAAAGUGAGGCAGCAUGGAUGCCAUCAGCCAAUCCCCUGUGGACGCUGUGCUUCCCAAGCACAUCCUGGAUGUCUGGGCCAUCGUCCUCAUCAUCCUGGCCACCAUCGUCAUCAUGACCUCCUUGUUGCUGUGUCCAGCCACCGCAGUCAUCAUCUACCGCAUGCGGACUCAACCAGUGCUCAGUGGGGCUGUUUGAGAAGCACCCAAAGGCCCUGUGGGGAUGAGGACGCAAGUCCCUUGCCACAGCCUGUUCUCAGCGAAAUGCUGGGAAGGACUUGGGGUUAGACCUGCAUUCUAGGGCGAAGAUGCUUAAGUCAGAGAAGAUGCUUAAGAAGAUGCUUAAGUCACCCAGAGCCAAUGCACAACCUGGACUCCACUCUACCCUGCAAGUGGUCAAUAAAUCGAGCUCCUUUCUUCUGUUUCAGCAAGUCAGACUGACACUUUUUGAGGGUAAUAGGAGGACAUUUGGGACAUUCUCAAUUUUUGAUCGCUACAAAUAAAGUGACUGUGAACAUCCAUGUAUAGGGUU